UACAGAGGGUGCGAGCGUUAAUCGGAAUUACUGGGCGUAAAGCGCACGUAGGUGGCGACGUAAGUCGGGUGUGAAAGCCCCGGGCUCAACCUGGGAAUUGCAUUCGAGACUGCAUUGCUGGAGUACGGAAGAGGAAGGCGGAAUUCCCGGUGUAGCGGUGAAAUGCGUAGAUAUCUGAAGGAACAUCAGUGGCGAAAGCGACUUCCUGGACCAAUACUGACGCUCAUGUGCGAAAGCGUGGGGAGCAAACAGG
rnacentral:rRNA from 1 species